rnacentral:tRNA from 1 species
GUGCCCGUAUAUCAGCGGAUAGAUAGCCACUCUCCGAAGGUGGAAGUCGUGAGUUCAAAUCUCACCGGGCACG